UACGGGGGGAGCAAGCGUUGCUCGGAAUCACUGGGCGUAAAGGGUGCGUAGGCGGGUUUUUAAGUCAGGGGUGAAAUCCUGGAGCUCAACUCCAGAACUGCCUUUGAUACUGAAGAUCUUGAGUCCGGGAGAGGUGAGUGGAACUGCGAGUGUAGAGGUGAAAUUCGUAGAUAUUCGCAAGAACACCAGUGGCGAAGGCGGCUCACUGGCCCGGUACUGACGCUGAGGCACGAAAGCGUGGGGAGCAAACAGG
rnacentral:rRNA from 1 species